rnacentral:rRNA from 1 species
AGAGUUUGAUCCUGGCUCAGGACGAACGCUGGCGGCGUGCUUAACACACGCAAGUCGAACGGUGAAGUCCCUUCGGGGGCGGAUCAGUGGCGAACGGGUGAGUAACACGUGGGCAAUCUGCCCCUCACUGUGGGAUAACUCCGGGAAACCGGGGCUAAUACCGCAUAUGAAGCCUGGCGGCAUCGCCGGGUUUGGAAAGUUUUUCGGUGAGGGAUGAGCCCGCGGCCUAUCAGCUUGUUGGUGAGGUAAUGGCUCACCGAGGCGACGACGGGUAGCCGGCCUGAGAGGGCGACCGGCCACACUGGGACUGAGACACGGCCCAGACUCCUACGGGAGGCAGCAGUGGGGAAUAUUGGGCAAUGGGCGAAAGCCUGACCCAGCGACGCCGCGUGCGGG